AGGGGUAUAGCUCAGUGGUAGAGCAUUCACCUAGCAUGUGUGAGACCCUGAGUUCAAUCCCUAGCACUGCAA
rnacentral:tRNA from 1 species